GAUUCCCUCAGUAGCUGCGAGCGAACAGGGAAUUGCCCAGCACCGAAUCCCGCGGCCUCGCAAGGACGCCGGGAAAUGUGGUGUUCGGGAGGAUCCGUUUAUCCCGAGGUCGUGCGGUGCGUCCAAGUCCUUCUUGAACGGGGCCACAGCCCAUAGAGGGUGCCAGGCCCGUAGCGACCGUCGCCGACCGCGGGUGGAUCUCUCCUUAGAGUCGGGUUGCUUGAGAGUGCAGCCCUAAGUGGGUGGUAAACUCCAUCUAAGGCUAAAUAUGACCACGAGACCGAUAGCGAACAAGUACCGUGAGGGAAAGUUGAAAAGCACUUUGAAGAGAGAGUUCAAGAGUACGUGAAACCGUUCAGGGGUAAACCUGAGAAACCCGAAAGGUCGAAAGGGGAAAUUCAAUCGCGUCUCGGCUUAAGCCGGCGACGGAUGGCGGCAGAGACGGGGCGGCGUACGCGUCGUCUCGCUCCCGUCGUUCGCCCGAACCGGCGUCGAACGCGUGCACUUUUCCCCCGGUAGGACGUCGCGAUCCGUUGGGUGCCGGUCUAAGGUCCGCGGUGGAGCCCGUCCGGACGGCUUUAUCGCCGCUCCGUGGCGGACCCGUGGCAUCCCGACCGGCCCGCCCGACGGUAUACAGAUGGCGCGGAGCCGCGACGCUAGUUCGCGUCCGGCCCGCGGCAAGCGCGCCUCGUGCGUCGGCGAUCGGACCUAGUGCCGAUUCCGACCCGCGGCGACUGUUGGCCGCGGUGUUCUCGGACAGACUCCGACUUGAAACGCCGAUCUGCGACGCUAUCGCUUUGGGUACUUUCAGGACCCGUCUUGAAACACGGACCAAGGAGUCUAGCAUGUGCGCGAGUCAUUGGGACACGACUAAACCCAAAGGCGCAAUGAAAGUGAAGGUCCGCCUUGCGCGGACCGAGGGAAGAUGGGCGGCUGCGCAACACGCGUACCGCCCCGCACUCCCGGGGCGUCUCGUUCUCAUCGCGAGGAGAGGCGCACCAAGAGCGUACACGCUGGGACCCGAAAGAUGGUGAACUAUGCCUGGUCAGGACGAAGUCAGGGGAAACCCUGAUGGAGGUCCGUAGCGAUUCUGACGUGCAAAUCGAUCGUCGGAACUGGGUAUAGGGGCGAAAGACUAAUCGAACCAUCUAGUAGCUGGUUCCCUCCGAAGUUUCCCUCAGGAUAGCUGGCGCUCGUCGUACACGAGUCUCAUCCGGUAAAGCGAAUGAUUAGAGGCAUUGGGGUCGAAACGACCUCAACCUAUUCUCAAACUUUAAAUGGGUGAGAUCUCCGGCUUGCUCGAACUCAUGAAGCCGCGAGACACGGAUCAGAGUGCCAAGUGGGCCAUUUUUG
rnacentral:rRNA from 1 species